CGCUACCUAACUCAAAACCCCAAAUUUAAUCAACUAACCAUUAACGGAUCAAUUAUCAUUUCAAUCCUGGGCUCAAAGAGCCCAGUCAACGUGAAGCACGUAUGAGCUAAAAACAACUCCCAAGAUGAAGACGGGCGGGCCUUUGCACGCCAGACCAGACUCAAUCCCAUAUCACUGUUAUGCUCUACCAAUAUCCCGAAAUUGCAUUCAAAUUAACGCUUAAACAUACUAACAAACCUCGUCCUACUAGAAGGGAUCAACAGUACUUUAAACUCAAGCUCUAAUGAAUUUCGUGCUUCAUAAACAAUUGAAACUUGAUAAUCACAUCUCGGCCCAACUUUUAGAGGAGUAUCCUGUUUACACACACUGGAGCCGUGAUAGAAAUAGAUAGUUCACGACUCAACUAUACUAUCAGCUAAAAGAAUUGCAAAUUAAGCUAUACUACUCGAGUUAACGACUAAAUGACUAAUUACUAGUUGGAAAUCCAACACUUGAGGGAACCAAGGAGAGGGUAGAAUGAGAGUUCACAGAUUGUUCAUACAUGACAAACAAACUUGGGAUUCCAUAUAUUGUUUCUACAAACAACCCACAUGGACUUUGGGAUUGACAUCUAUAUUACUAAUUAAAAAACAAAGCAUCAUGAAGGAAAUGUAGUUAAGCAUAAUCAGAACCUUAGCAGGAUUUUAGUACUGCCUUUCAUUCCUUCUUUAAAUCAAUAUGUACAUCUCGAAAGGUUCAAAGUUUGUACCUGGAAAAUAUAAUGACAAGAGAAAGGGAAGAGAGGUCAGCAGGUGGAAUAACAACAGCUCAGUGACAAAUUUAGCAGCCCAGCAAUGACUUAAUCACCACAACACCAACUAGAGCAGUUUUAAAUCGUAGUAAUUUCAAUAACCAACCAAAAAUAUUUCAGCAAUCAAAAACAGUUUGACUGAGUGCUUUCGAUCGAAAUACACCUUAAACUAACCCUCAGAAUGCCAUACCAAGGUACUACACUAAGUGUUUGACCAAACUAACUCAAAACCAAAGAAUCACCCAAAAUGGGAUAAGCAAAUCUUUGAAACUAUGGUAAUUAGAAAUUGAACUAAAACUUGCAAAUCAACAGCCGUAAGUUAAAAUUUACCCAAUGCUCGAUGGAACAAUAGUUUUCUUUCUGGAUUUUGAAGUCUUCUAUCUUUUUUUGGUUUUCUAUAUGAAGAAAGUUGGAAUCUAAGAGUAAUUCUGAUCAGAAUUUAAAUUAGAGAUCUGAGAGCUUUCAGGAAGGUUUUUUGGGCAUUCACCAGAUAAAUCCCAAAAUUCCUCCCUCCUCAAGGCCAAGAACAUGCCCUUUUAUGGGCACAAAAGAAAGCAAAUUCAGAUUUCUUCUUUACAAAAGAGUCCCUCCUUAUUUUUACUUGUUACUCAAGUAAGUUCCUCUUAUUUACUGAAAUCUAUACUAAAGUAUAUUCUAGAAGGUCCUAUACCCAUUACAAUUCCUAUACUACCCUUUCCCUACUUUGAAAUUACUAUUCCUAGAGAAAUUACCUUUUUCCGAUGCCCAAACUACCCUUGUUACCUCCUAAAAUUACUUUCCUUAAUCACCAUUACUCUAUCUAUUAACUGGAUUCUAAUUAACCAACAAUUAAAAUCUGAAUAUCCAAACUACACCAAACUACAAAUCGUUCCUAAUUCCACUUUACCAAACCAUCACCCAAACAAGAAUAACA
rnacentral:lncRNA from 1 species